CCCAGACUCCUACGGGAGGCAGCAGUGGGGGAUAUUGCACAAUGGGGGGAACCCUGAUGCAGCGACGCCGCGUGGGUGAAGGAGCGUUUCGGCGCGUAAAGCCCUCUCGGCAGGGAAGAAGGAGGACGGUACCUGACUAAGAAGCCCCGGCUAACUACGUGCCAGCAGCCGCGGUAAUACGUAGGGGGCAAGCGUUAUCCGGAUUUACUGGGUGUAAAGGGGGCGCAGACGGCAGCGCAAGCCAGGAGUGAAAGCCCGGGGCCCAACCCCGGGACUGCUCUUGGAACUGCGCGGCUGGAGUGCAGGAGGGGCAGGCGGAAUUCCUGGUGUAGCGGUGAAAUGCGUAGAUAUCAGGAGGAACACCGGUGGCGAAGGCGGCCUGCUGGACUGCGACUGACGUUGAGGCCCGAAAGCGUGGGGAGCAAACAGGAUUAGAUACCCCCGUAGG
rnacentral:rRNA from 1 species